AGGGAUUAUUCAGUCCCCUCGGAGCACAUACCCUCCCUCUCUCACAUAUGCAUGGGUCCCAGCCUCUAAUAACAGAAUUUUUGUGUCUGCACGAGCACUAUUUUUUUAGUACUCCAGUGUAUAUUAUAAAUUUACCCAAAUCCCAUCCCGCAGAGCAGUAGUUGAAGAACUUGUAGACUUAAAAAAAGGGAAGAGACGACUCCAAUAUAACAGUUGCAUCAACAAAAUACAAAUCUUAUUCAUAGAAAUGUAAAGGCCUCACUUUGUGA
rnacentral:misc_RNA from 1 species